AUGAGCCUUAGUUAUUUGAAUAGUAGCGUUACAUAAUCGUCAUCUUUCGAUCUUUGGGAAAUUGGUCCAUCCAUUUCUGUUUAUGAUAUACAAAGAUACUUGUUUAUAAAGAUGGUUGUGAUGAAGGUUUUGGGGUUAAUUUUACUAAUAUGUUUGGUAUCAGUUUCAGCCAGGACAAUUAAUUUUCGCGAAUUAAUAGAUUAUUUUAUCCACGGUGCUACAGUCGGAUACUACGUUUCUGUUGAUAAAUGUGAUACCAACAUGCCCACACAGAUGCCACUGUUGUCAUUUGGUGACGUUAUUGAUAAUGCGAGAGUUUAUUAUGCCGGAGAAAGUGACUGGUGGAUUCAUUUCUCCUCAAGAAGAUUUGUCAAUGGCUCAACUCACAAUAUACGAGGUCCAGUCUCUCGACUAACGGAAGUUUUUUUUACUAAUGGUGGUGAAGCUGAUUUUAAUAUUGCUGAUUAUGACGGUGAAUCUGGUAAUUUGUUAGUUAGUGGUAAUAUCAAUUGUAAAGAAGAAAGAGGAGGUAUCCAUGUGACAAGACUGACGGGUAAAGGAGGUGAGAUAAUAGAUUUACACCAGGUGAAGACGUCACUAGAACUAGGUUAUAACGUACAUUAUCAUGUAAACAUCUUGCAAUGUGGUCCACGUCCACAGAGAUUUACUGGAACAGUUGGUUGGGCGGGAAGAAUAUCAGGUCAUCGUUUAAAUCGUGAUGGUAAUAUUGAAUUCACACAAACAGUGGAACUCCCAACGGCUACAUUUGUAAUGGACGUUACCGUUUAUCCUAACAACAACGUUACAGUUUACGUGGAUUCCUUAGUGCCGGAUAGUAGGAAGAGCACCGGUGUUUUGAGAAAAGAAUGUGUUUUAGGAACUCAUGGCAGUUUCCAUGUCUUCAGAAAUUAAAUAUCAAGACUUGUUAUGGCAAAAGAACAUUUGUAAUGUAGGUCAUAAUCCUUGAAUUGUUGUCAUGAGCAUAUCCAUAGCAUCACACGCUGCAUGUUCUGUUAAAGUUAUCUAAAACUCUAUAGCAGGCAGAUUACCAGCCAUAUGCCGGAAUCAUUAGAGAGUAUUUAUACGUAUACUAAAUUUUAUCAAGCUGUUUUAUAUUCAUGUAUAUUUAUUUCAUAAAGGUGCUUUAAUAUUUAUUUCUAUUUUUGUAUAUAAUAUUCUAAUCUUAUAUAUUACUAGUAUCCAUGAUGUUUUAUAUCAGGGUAUUUUAAUGGAAACCCCUGCUAGGCCAAUAGUGCAAUUAUACAAACUCAUGUUCAAAAUGUCCAUGUUCAUGUAGUAGGUAUCUGAAUAAACUGUUAUUACUAUUUUACUCUUUUUAUUUUCCACUCAGAUAAAACAAAAAGAAACUGUAAUAAAAUAAAAUAGUUUGAAA